rnacentral:tRNA from 1 species
GUAGAGGUUUGCUGCUCUUUGUGAUUUGUUGUGAAUAGUUAAGCCCCUGGGAGAGACUCGAAAUCAGGUGUACGGCAACGUACCUAGGGUUCGAAUCCCUAUCUCGCCA